CAACAAAUAUUUUAAUAAAAAUAUUAGUCUUGGGUAUUAAUGAUGUAAAUAAUUUACUUUGUUGA
rnacentral:tRNA from 1 species